GUGCUCACUUCAGCAGCACAUAUACUAAAAUUGGAAGACUACAGAGAAGAUUAGCAUGGCCCCUGCAUAAGGAUGACACACAAAUUUAUGAAGUAUUUUAUAUUUUU